CAGUCGCCACGGUAAUACGUAGGUGGCAAGCGUUGUCCGGAAUUAUUGGGCGUAAAGGGCUCGCAGGCGGUUUCUUAAGUCUGAUGUGAAAGCCCCCGGCUCAGCCGGGGAGGGUCAUUGGAAACUGGGAAACUUGAGUGCAGAAGAGGAGAGUGGAAUUCCACGUGUAGCGGUGAAAUGCGUAGAGAUGUGGAGGAACACCAGUGGCGAAGGCGACUCUCUGGUCUGUAACUGACGCUGAGGAGCGAAAGCGUGGGGAGCGAACAGGAUUAGAUACCCCUGUAGUCCCUGUCUCUUAUAC
rnacentral:rRNA from 1 species